GGCGGAUCCUAUAUGGGGUGAAGGAUGUCUUAAUGGAGGUCCAUGGGGUCGGAUUUGGGGUCAGAUUUGGGGUGGACGUCGCAACGGAGGUCCAUGGGGUCAGAUUUGGGGUCAUAUUUGGGGCGGACGUCCCAAUGGAGGCCCACCGUCAUGGCGGAUCCUAUAUGGGAGGUAGUAGAUCCUAUAUGGGGUGAAGGACGUCCCAAUGGAGGUCCACCAUCAUGGCGGAUCCUAUAUGGGGUGAUGGACGUCCCAAUGGAGGUCUAUCAUCAUGGCAGAUCCUAUAUGGGGUGAAGGACGUCUUAAUGGGGUGGUAGAUCCUAUAUGGGGUGAAGGACGUCACAAUGGAGGUCUACCAUCAUGGCGGAUCCUAUAUGGGGUGAAGGACGUCCCAAUGGAGGCCCACCAUCAUGGCGGAUCCUAUAUGGGGUGGUAGAUCCUAUAUGGGGUGAAGGACGUUGUAAUGGAGGUCCACCAUCAUGGCGGAUCCUAUUUGGGGUGAUGGACAUCCCAAUGGAGGUCCAUGGGGUUGGAUUUGGGGUCGGGUUUGGGGUGGACGUCCCAAUGGAGGCCCACCGUCAUGGCGGAUCCUAUAUGGGGUGAAGGACGUCCCAAUGGAGGUCCACCAUCAUGGCGGAUCCUAUUUGGGGUGAUGGACGUCCCAAUGGAGGUCCACCAUCAUGGCGGAUCCUAUAUGGGGUGGUAGAUCCUAUAUAGGGUGAAGGACGUCGCAAUGGAGGUCCACCGUCAUGGCGGAUCCUAUGUGGGGUGAAGGACGUCGCAAUGGAGGUCCACCGUCAUGGCGGAUCCUAUAUGGGGUGAAGGACGUCUUAAUGGAGGUCCACCAUCAUGGCGGAUCCAUUUUGGGGG